rnacentral:lncRNA from 1 species
AAAGUACUUCAGAGCCUCAGUGGGUCUGGAACAAGUCACAUGUCAGAUGGCUUCCAAGGGAAUGAUAAAAGUCAGAGGCCCAUGUUUUAGGCUCUGACUAAAGGUCAGAUUCUUCCUCAAUCUCUACAUGUUUCUUAUCUUUGGAGUAACUUUGAAAGGAUCACAGGAGUUCCCUGGUGACCUAGUGGUUAAGGGUCUGGUGUUGUCACUGCUGUAGCUUGGGUCACUGGCCUGAGGACUUCUGCAUGCCAUGGGCAUGGCCAAAAACAAUAAAAAGAAGGAUAACAUCUCUCUUUGCAUUUUAGAUAUGCAAAAGCAGAGGCAAUGAGACGCUAACUGGACCUUUCCCAGUACCAUGUCAGCAGGUAGUAAAGCUCUGACCUUCACCAAUUCCCUUUCCAUCAUCCUGCUCUUCAGUCAGGUAGGAUUGGCAGAGGGUACAUGUAAACCACACACAACUACAACAAGCACAGCUGGAGAAGGAGAGGAUGGUGGCAGGAGCAGACAUACAGUGAGCACCAAAUGGGAAAUCUGCAAAGAAAAACCACCUAUGAAAUGGGGCUGAUGGAUUUCACCUAACUUGUAGAGGCCCAGCCAGGGGUUCUUAACCCAGCUGCACACAGAAUCACCUGGGGCCCAGGCUUUAGUGUCUGUUUGGUUUGGGAUGAAGGCCCAGCAGCAGUGUAUUUGAAACAUUUCCCAGAUGAUUCUCUGCUGCCAGAGUUGAAAACCACAGAUUGAGAUUAAAUGCCUUUGUAGACUAAGCAAUUAAAUCUAAAUCAUGAAUGUAAUUUUUUAAAAAAAGCAUAUAUGUGAAAGGGAAACAAAAGCAUAUAUGUGAAAGGGAUUGACAAACUGCAUACUGUUCUACAUAUGGCCCUUUAAUGAAGAGAUAAAUGGAGAAGAGCAUAAUUUAGUAAAUAAUUGGACACCUGGUCCACCGGGGCAGGGAGCCGGGAGAGCAGGGAAAGAUCGAGCGUGUUGAAGGCUACUAAGAAGAAGGAUUUUUUUGAUGCUAUGAUUUGAAGCCAACCUUUCCUGGUAACUGGCCCAUCACAUGCUCUCUGGCCUCCACCGUACAUAAAGGAAACUUGGAGUGAAAAGAAGCCAGCUGUAUAAAGAGGUGGAGACAAGAAGAGGCUGUCUGAGUUUUGGAGUCAGCCACACCAGGACUCCUCCCUGGAUUGUUCUGCAAGUGGGGUAGUACCAUGAUUUCAGAAAGUAAUUCCCGACAUAUUUUGGUAUGAGGCUCUAGGAUUUGUCAAACCACACUGGAAUUCACCAUUUAUAAAGGGGCUGGAACCUUAGAAUUUUCGUUUUCAAUAAGCCAGUUUUUAAAAGGAAUUCUCCCCACCAGAAGUGCAUUUCACAAUCAGGGACGACACCUCUUUCAGAGCUCAGAGCUAAACCACUGUGUGAAAAUACGUACUUGAACAUGGAAGGAGCUAGAUUUGCCAAGUACCCCCGGAGCCCUCCACCUGUCUCUUCCCAAACACAACCUCUGCCCUGCUACCCACAAGAGGAGCCACUAUCCUGACAUUUAUGGUAAUCAACUGUUUGCUUUUCUUUGUCGUUUCUCACCCAAACGUUAGAGUUAGCAUUGUCUAUUCUUAUUUUUUAAUAUCCUUUAGAUCUCUUUCCUCUAUAAUUUUGUCUGUUCAUUUCCGUUUCCCUCCAUUGCUCUUUAUUUCCUGGGGAAACCAGGUCAUCUCUUGUGGACUUUGCCUCAGCCUGUGCUACCUCCCACAGUGUGCUUUCACAUCUGUGUCUCCAGCAAACUGGCUGCAGAUCCAGAGGCUUAAUCACAUACAGACCUGGUUGUUUGGGGGAAGACGUCUUUUUAGGUGGUGUCGUGUUCUUCAUCGAAAGAUCCGCACUAUCUAAUUUUCUCUUUAUUUGUGGAAAUAGCCACCGACUCUCAGUGCCUACAUCUUUAAUUCAUUAGGAGUAAAUGGUGAUAUUCUAAUUCCUUCAUUCUGUCUUCAUUUACCUGUUGAAAUAUUUCUAUACAAAGAAAUUUCUCUUCUGUGAUUUGGUUGACUGGUGGUAUGGUUUGUAGAAAAAAGGAUAAAUGCUUGGGACUUCAUUUUAUUUACCAGUGGUCAACAAAAAGAGACAGAUCUGUAGCAUUCUUCCAGAACCAUCCUAUUAAUGUUUUCUCUCAUUAGGAACUCAUGAAUACAAACACAUUUGACCAGUUUCAAUGUAUCAUUUAGUUGUGAUUUACAAUCUCUAUUAGGAGAAUGUUUUCUGGCUACACAAUGGCCAAAACUACACCUAUACAGAUGUGAUCCCAGGAAUGUGGAGCAAAACCAAAGGGGUCUGAAGGUUUCUACCCGUCCACCUCUGAUCCUUGAAAGUCCUGUGGCCACAGGAGAGAAGGUGGCAGAUUAGAGUGAGUCCAGGUUUCAGAGUGGCAGGGGACCUGGGUUUGAAUCUUGGCUGUUACUCCCUAGCUGUGUGACCUCGUAUUUCUUCCUAAACCUCUCUGAAACUCCGUUUUCCUCAUCUGUAAAGGUGAGAGGAACAAUGUUUGCCUUAGUUGUACGUGUUGGUUGAGAAUAUGCACCAAGCACAUGGCCCAGUGUCUGGCCCAGUGUCUGACCCAGAGUAGGGAUUUGAUACAAGUUCCUUCCCUUGCCUGACCUUCCCUGCAAAGCAGUGAGAAGGCAAGCCUGAGAAAUGCCCAUCCCUUUGGAAAAAAGUUGCUCAAAGAUUUCAGCCCAGUGCACGUAGUUAUUUUUUUUUUCUUCUCUGUCUUCUUUUUUGUUUUCACCUAAAGGAACUUUUCAUUAUUGUCAUUCAGUAAGAUGUACUUUCAUUCUGUUUGUUUUCUGAGGCAAGUUAACUGGUAAUUCCUAGAAGCUUCUUAACUGUCACACAAACCAGCUUCUCCAGCUUUUGAAGAGGGUGGUCUUAACUAGAGUGCCAUGUGCCUCCCAGGAAGAAGAGAGGCACCCCUACUUUCAUCUCAUUGAAAGGAUUCCAGCUUCUAGGGAGGGCAGUUUUCUCUGGCUUUAUUUCAGAAAUGAUGUGACAGUUGUCAGCCCUGAUCUCCCCAACACAUGCACGCACACAUCCCACCUCUCACCUUGCUCUUUUGUUUCCCCUUAAGACUCCUGUAAAAACCCAGUGUGCUGUUUUUCAUGUUCUGUGUUUCCCCAAAUUGUUCCUUUUCACUUGUGUAGCUUAGCUUAAAAAUUGCCAUUUAUUGGGAGUUCCCACUGUGGUGCAGUGGAAAUGAAUCCAACUAGUAUCCAUGAGAACGCAGGUUCAAUAGCUGGCCUCACUCGGUGGGUUAAGGAUCCGGCAUUGCCGUGAGCUAUAGUGUAGGUUACAGACAUGGCUCAGAUCUGGCAUUGCUGUGGCUGUAGCUGUGGCUGUGGCCAGCAGCUACAGCUCAGAUUCAACCCUUGGCCUGGGAACUUCCAUGUGCCGUAAGCGUGGCCCUUAAAAAAAAAAAAAAAAUGUUUUCAAAGAGAAAGAAAUUCUCUCUAGGAAUAGGAAAGUUGUAUGAAACCAGAUGCAGCUGGGUAGGGCCCAACUCGUGGUUUCCCCAGGCUGGAUGACUGGAUGACAUCUGUCUACCUGUAGGAAAGGAGAAUUCUGAGGCAUUCUGCUGUAGAGACAAAAAACCUCAUCAACGCUUAUGUUUGUUCGUGAGCGUAGUAGGAAGUCAUUUCAUUUGUGAAGGCCUGAUGUUGCAGUAGGGUUUUAGUGAAGCUAUGCAGAAAGUCGGGUGCAUGUUUGCCUCGAUCCUAAGGAAGGCUAAGAACACGCUUCUACUCCCAGUUUAUAAAAUAGAAAACCUAGGCUCAGAGAGGUGAACCAGGGUCCCAGAGCUGCUCCAGCAGAACUGCCACUCAGCUGCUCCCACUCCCCACCCAGUGGUGUUUUUGUCACCCCAUUCUAGGCCUCCAGUUCUCCCAAGGAAGCACCUUCACACAUGCCUUGCUCCCCACUGAGAGGUCUCCUGGCCUCUGCACUUGAACUUCCCACUGACGCAGGCACUUGAAUCCAAUCACUUACCCUUUCAGUCAACCCAUCAUGCAGUGUAUUCAUUCAAUUCUAAGUACUUUUUCAGUACCUAGGGUUUGUCAAGCACUGUGCGCCAGUGUUGUAGCAAACAAAAUGCUCUCAAGGUGCUUAUAGUCAAAUGGAAGAAUAAUUUAGAUAUAGGUAUACACAUAUAAUAUGUUUUAUGUCUGAUGUUUCCUAUUAAAAUUGACUCUUAACAAUCUUCUCUCCUGAAAGGAAAUUAAUACAACUAAAGCCCCUGGGUAAGAAAGUCCAUGUAUACCCAUACAUCAUGUUGUAGUAAAGAGUAAGGAAGUCUCAAGUAACUUUCUUUUCAUAUUCAGUUACUACUGUAAUAAAGAAAGAAGAGCGCGUCCAAGCAGAGAGUUGGAGAAUAAGCACUUAACUGCUCUGAGUUGUUGGGUCAGAGCCAUUUUGUCUUUACAAUUUAACAUCACACUAAUGUGUUGUUUGGGCUGUAAAAUCAACAAUGUGCUUUACAGAACUUAAUGCAUCUCUUGGUGUGCAGACAAAGAUCUAAGAGGGUUUGUUCCUUUUUGUUGCAUCUCACUUGCCAGCCAGCUGCACGUUGCCCUCUCCUCCCUCCCACAUCCCAAACCCAUGUUCACAGAGUCUUCAAAUAAAGCAUGCUUUUGUUUUUGAAAAUGGUCUUUUCUGGACAAUUGAGUUGGCUCAUGAAAUCCACAACUUCAAGGCUUCGGGAAGUCCCGUUAAGUUUGUCAAAGAGUGUACCCCUGAAUGGUUUUAGAAUACAGGCUUCUACAUGUUCACCCUGCCAACUCAUCCAAGGUUUUAGGAUUCAUGCAAAGAGAGCCAAGUGUGAUCCUUGAAAUGGAAAAAAUAUUAAUCUAGGAUCAAAAAUAAAAGUAUAUCUAUAUAAUGCAGCGCACAUAUCUCAUUUUAAAGCUAUUGUUACUAAGCUCAAAGAAGACAUUUGAGAAGAGUGUGUUGAUUUGACUUCAUUUUUUUUCUAUAGACAAUUUGAAUAGGGAUAUAAGAUUAUCUUAAUGCAUAUGUAUCCUCUUACAUAACAAGAAAUCCACUAUUUAACAUGUUUUGUGAAACCCUUGUGUGCAGCCAUUGAUUAAAUAUUGUAUUUGAACUGCCUUCGGACUCUUUCACCAUAACUCUAGCUCAACCAGUCCUUUUGACAGCUGUAUUUCCCUAACUGCAUGGUUCAGCAGACACUACUAAUAGACAAUUUUCUUCUGUUUAGCAAAACAGAAAAAUUUUUCUGUGUAUAAGAAUUCAUCUGGCAAUAGAAUUAAUCUUAGCUGCUGUAUUUCUAACCAAUAUUUAGCAGUUACCAAAAUUCUCUUGAUCACUAUUGUGAGUCUUUUGAAGAAAGCACUAUAUACAAGAAAGAGAACUAACUUAUCCUGAGGUUACAAGACCCACAUUCAAAAGCUAACUCAACCAUUUAUUCCUUAUUUGAUAUUGGACAGUCAGCUCUUAAGUGGAGAUGGUCGUUCAUGGUCUUGACUAUAUAAUGGGGUCACUGAUGCAGGUCAAGUGAGAUGAAUAAAUAGCACUUGAAAAAGUGUAAAGCAAUGAAUUAUGUAAGACAUUAUUAUCUUUAGGUUUUGUUUUUUUCCACUUCUCACACACAAACACACACACACACAUACAAUGCUUAACAGCUCUGCAGAUCUAUUCCUUUUUAGUUGUAAUUUAUGCUCCACUUCCAAAAAAGUGUUUUAAAGAGCCUAUAUGAUACAAGACACAGACAUAAUAGAAUCAAUCAAACAAGGAUGCAUGAACAGCAACCAGACAACAGAUGAGAGAAAUUAGAAACUACAGG